AGUUUGAUCCUGGCUCAGAACGAACGCUGGCGGCGUGCUUAACACAUGCAAGUCGAACGCGAAAGUAUCCUUCGGGGUGCGAGUAGAGUGGCGCACGGGUGAGUAACGCGUAGAUAAUCUACCUCUAUAUUUGGGAUAACCCGCCGAAAGGCAGGCUAAUACCGGAUACACUUAUUAGGUUGUUGGAUUUAAUGAGGAAAGGUGACCUCUUCUUGAAAGUUACCGUAUAGAGAUGAGUUUGCGUACCAUUAGCUAGUUGGUGGGGUAAAGGCCUACCAAGGCGACGAUGGUUAGCGGGUCUGAGAGGAUGAUCCGCCACACUGGAACUGAAACACGGACCANACUCCUACGGGAGGCAGCA
rnacentral:rRNA from 1 species